rnacentral:rRNA from 1 species
GUGGGGAAUAUUGGACAAUGGGGGGAACCCUGAUCCAGCCAUGUCGCGUGUGUGAAGAAGGCCUUUUGGUUGUAAAGCACUUUAAGCGAGGAGGAGGCUACCGAGAUUAAUACUCUUGGAUAGUGGACGUUACUCGCAGAAUAAGCACCGGCUAACUCUGUGCCAGCAGCCGCGGUAAUACAGAGGGUGCAAGCGUUAAUCGGAUUUACUGGGCGUAAAGCGCGCGUAGGUGGCCAAUUAAGUCAAAUGUGAAAUCCCCGAGCUUAACUUGGGAAUUGCAUUCGAUACUGGUUGGCUAGAGUAUGGGAGAGGAUGGUAGAAUUCCAGGUGUAGCGGUGAAAUGCGUAGAGAUCUGGAGGAAUACCGAUGGCGAAGGCAGCCAUCUGGCCUAAUACUGACACUGAGGUGCGAAAGCAUGGGGAGCAAACAGGAUUAGAUACCCCUGUAGUCC